rnacentral:rRNA from 1 species
AACGAACGCUGGCGGCGUGGAUUAGGCAUGCAAGUCGAACGAUAUCCAAGUGGCUUGAUCCUUCGGGUGAAAAGCUGUUUGGUGACAGUGGCGAAAGGGUGAGUAACACGUGAGUAAUUUGCCCUUUAGUUCGGAAUAACAAUUCGAAAGGAUUGCUAAUACCGGAUGUGGUUGUUGUGUGACAUCAUGCGACAAUUAAAGGUGGGGACCUUCGGGCCUGCCGCUAAAGGAGAAGCUCGCGGUCUAUUAGCUUGUUGGUGGGGUAAUGGCCCACCAAGGCGAUGAUGGAUAGCCGUCCUGAGAGGGUGAUCGGCCACACUGGGACUGAGACACUGCCCAGACUCCUACGGGAGGCUGCAGUCGAGAAUCUUUCGCAAUGGGCGAAAGCCUGACGAAGCGACGCCGCGUGAGCGAUGAAGGCCUUCGGGUUGUAAAGCUCUGUCACGUGGGACGAAUUACAUAUCUGUUAAUACCAUUUAUGUUUGACGGUACCAUGAAAGGAAGCCCCGGCUAACUUCGU